rnacentral:lncRNA from 1 species
AAAGACCUGCCCCCAUGAUUCAAUUACCUCCCACUGGGUCCUUCCCACAACACAUGGGAAUUGUCGAAGCUACAACUCAAGAUGAGUUUUGGGUGAGGACACAGCCAAACUAUAUCAAUCCAGGUGUUCUGUUUCUUCCUCGUUCAAUCUUGGCAGGAAAGGGACCUCAGAGAACAUCCAGUCCACGCUGCCCUCUGUUUAAAUGUGUCUACAGUGUACCACACCAAGGAACUCCCACACUCUGAAUGAACAGCCCAGUGAUCAGGAGCUUUGAAUCAAUUCUUGGCACCUAACAGUUUGUGAAGAGUCUGCUAAACUCCCUCUAUCAGAAAUCCCAGAGGACUGAGAACAGGUCAUCCUUGGAGGCUCUUUGACAAAAGUCUCCAGAAAACUACUGAACUACACACAUCAACAAUAAAGAAGUCCUAAUGUCCAAAACCUUGCUUGUCACUUUUUUGUUUGUAUAAUUUAUCUCCACAACUAGAUCAUAGGCUUCUAGAAAACAUGAGUUCUGUUUUAAAUUUUGUGCCCCUUGGCAGCUGUAUCUGAAUGGAGUCAGGAUCUGGAAGCCCAAGUCUCCUUGUCAAUGUCUGCUUGGUUCCCAAGGACACCUGUAAAUGGAAGAGGGGCAUAGUACACAGAAGACAUUGCUGGCAAGUGUGGUCUCUUUACGAUCAGGUGAGUCAUCUGCUGAAAUCUUUAUAAUAGACUUCUACCUUGAUGGAAUGGGUUGGACUAACGAGGAACCACCAUUACUCCAAGGCCCAGAGCAGAGCUGGGCCAUCAACUGUCUCCACACUUCCUGUCUUCUAGGUGCCACCCUGAUCCCUCAUUGCCUUUCAGCUGCAUGUCUAAAUCCCCACCCCACCCCUCAUCUAGUUGGCUUUGAUUCCAAGGACCUAGGACUGGAGUAGGGCUUUCACAAAUAAGACAGCAGGAAUGUAAUGCAACCUAAUGAGCAGACUAAGAAAGCAUCUAUACAGAAGAACAGACAUACAAAUACCAAGGCAGAUAAGAGUGACAAAAGACAAAAAAAAAAAAAAAAAAAAGAGAGAGAGAGAGAUUUAUCUGGUCUUUGGGUUCUCCUCUGAAGUAAUUGUAACACCUUUCUGAUUCCCUUGUUAGUUAAUGAGUUAAAAUCUCUGAUAUGUGUUCAUUGCAUAUUUGUUGCAUCAUGAUUUAAACUUUCUUGUAGAAACUAUUCUUAAGACCGGACGCGGUGGCUCAUGCCUGUAAUCCCAGCACUUUGGGAGGGCCGACAUGGGUGAAUCACCUGAGGUCAGGAGUUCAAGAGCAGCCUGGGCAACAUGGUGAAACCCGUCUCUACUAAAAAUACAAAAUAUUAGCUGGGCGUGGUGGUGUGCACCUGUAAUCCCAGCUACUCAGGAGGCUGAGACAGGAGAAUCACUUGAACCUGGGAGGUGGAGGUUGCCGUGAGCCGAGAUCGUGCCAUUGCACUCCAGCCUGGGCAACAAGAGC